rnacentral:lncRNA from 1 species
CUUGAACAAUUAAUGUAUGAUAAAAAGUUAGUUGUAAUUUUUAUUGGAAAGUUCAAAGAUGAAUUAAUGGAUUUAUGUUUGACUUUUCACAGGGACAAGCGAAGAGACAAAGAAAAGGUCAAGGGAAAAGAAAAAAGCCAAAGAAAAGGAGAAAGAGAGAGACCGAGACAAAGAGAAGGAGAGAAACCAGGACAAAGAAUGGGAAAGAGAGAGAAAUAAAGAGAGAAACAGGGAUAAGGACAAGGAGAAGGACCGGGAGAGAGAGAAGGAACAAAACAAAGACCAAGAGAGAGUCAGAGACAAGGAUAGGGAUAGAGACAGGGAUAAGGACAGGGAAAAGGACAAAGAUAAGAAGGAAAAAGACAGGGAAGAGGUAGACCACAACAAGGAAAAAAAUGAUGUUGAUGAAGAGGGGGAGAAGGACAGAGAGAAGAUUAAGGACAAGGAGGGAGACAAGGAAAGAGGGGACAAAGAUAAUGGCAGAGAUAAAGAAAAGGAAAAAGAUGAGGAUACAGAGAAGAAGGAACAUAAAAGAGAAAAAGAGAGAGAUGAUAAAAAGAAGAGAGAUAAGAGAUCCAGAACACCCCCAAGAAGCUACAGCUCUUCAAGAAGAUCUCGUAGCUCCAGCAGUGAAAGGCAUAAAUGGAAGAAUAGAAGUUCCUCCAAGUCUCCUAAAACAAGAAAAACAAAGUCUUCGCAAACUCCUUCUCCAACAAGAAACAAGAAAGAAAAAAAAAGAGAAAAGGAUACAAAUAAUGAAAGAAGAGAAAGGGAACAGUCCACCUCCAAGAAAAAAAGUAGCAAAGAAAAAGAAGGAAAGGAAAAAUCUGACAAAAACGCCAUUACUUUGAAGGACAAAGAUCACACUAAAGAGGAUCUGAAUUCAGAAACUGACAAGGAAGUAGGCAACAGAGAUACGCAAAUGACAGAUGAAGCCAAACUACAACAGAAUGGGAACUGUCAACCAAAUGAUGAAAACCUGUCAAUUAAAAUGGAAGAGGUUCAAAGCAAGGAAUGGAUCUCUGACUCAACUAAGAAAUGAAAUCCAAAGCUUUUAAUUUUCCAGUAUGAGGAAGAAAAUGUCAAGGUAAUCAACCUGAACAUGGUGACAGUGCUAGUAGCUCUUCCAAUUCUUGUGAUAGCUUUGUCAAUUUCUUGCUGAAAGGACAAAUACCAUCAGAACUAUUAAUCUCUGAAAAUCCGUGCAUUUCCAUGAUGGCUGUACUUAUUUGUAAAAUGAUUUGUGUUAAGUUUUGCCAUAAGCUGUUGCAAAUAAGUAGAAACUGAAAGAUGUAAACCUGUACUAUCAAAAAAAGCUGGAUAUGCAUUGAAGGUUGUUUAAUAUACUGCUUACUGAUGAGUUUUGUAUUGUUUUACCUUGUGGGUUAAAAAAGUCCACAAAGUUUUCAAUGUAUACUGUUUGUGCUUGGAAAUGGUGCAUAAACAUAUGCGCUUUCUUUUGUUGUAAAUUAAAACUAUAGAAAAAGGGGUUUUAAACAUAAGCAUAGUUUUACAGUUCUUAUGUUAAAUGCGCACUGACUAGUUUGUUUUUCAUGUACUCGCUAGUUGAAGUCCUUGGGUUUUAUUUAAAACAAUUUCUUAUUAAUAUCCUUAAAAUUAAUAAUAAUUUUGAAGAAUGCAUGUUACUUUUCUGUUUGUAAAAGAAACAUCACCAUGUUGUAGAUAAUAGGCUAGCUUACUGGGUUGUUUUGGGGUUGUUUUGUUGUUUAUUUUUGUCCUUCCAGAAGUGAGCAUGUCUGUAUGAUAUUAGAACUUACAGCUUUGUUUUGAGCUGUAGUGCAGCGUGUCUGUUCAACUGAAAACAGUACAAGUGUCAUUAUGAAAAUAAUUUUUUCUCACUUGUUUAAAAACAUAUGGGAGCACAAGCAGAAGCUUUAGUGCCUUCUUAAAAUAAUGUGUCAUUUUCUAGAAAUCUGUAUGUGCUAUUACUCAUUUUAAGCUAAAUCUUAGAAUCAUAGAAUAGUUAGGGUUGGAAAGGACCUUAAGAUCAUUUGGUUCCAACUCCCCUUCCAUGGGCAGGGACACCUCACACUAAACCAUGUCACCCAAGCCUCUGUCCAACCUGGCCUUGAACACUGACAGGGAUGGAGCAUUCACAACUUCCUUGGGCGACCCAUUCCAGUGCCUCACCACCCUCACAGUAAAAAACUUCCUCCUUAUAUCCAAUCUAAACUUCCCCUGUUUAAAUUUGAACCCGUUACCCCCUUGUCCUGUCGCUACAAUCCCUAAUGAAGAGUCUCUCUCCAGCACCCUUGUAGGUCCCCUUCAGAUACUGCAAGGCUGCUAUGAGGUCUCCACGCAGCCUUCUCUUCUCCAGGCUGAACAGCCCCAACUUUCUCAGACCACCUGUCCUUGUAUGGGAGGUGCUCCAGUCCCCUGAACAUCCUCGUGGUCCUCCUCUGGACUCAUUCCAACAGCUCCAUGUCCUUUUCAUGUUGAGGACACCAGAACUGCACACAACACUCCAAGUGAGGUCUCACGAGAGCAGAGCAGAGGGGCAGGAUCAUUUCCUUCGAUCUACAGAUCCCGCUCCUUUUGAUGCAACCCAGGGUACGGUUGGCUUUCUGGGUUGCGAGCACACACUGCCGGCUCAUGUUCAGUUUCUCAUCGGCCAACACCCCACAAGUCCUUCUCCGCAGGGCUGCUCUGAAUCUCUUCUCUGCCCAACCUGUAGCCGUGCCUGGGAUUGCUCUGACCCAGGUGUAGGACCUUGCACUUGGGUGUAGGGCCUUGCACUUGUAAAUCUUACAUAAACUCUGUUGCUCUUUAGUCACCACUGUACUGUAGACAAGAAUGCAAGUUAUUUCUCAGAAUGAUUGAUUCACUUGUUAAAUACUGAAGCUCCAUUUUUACUUUUAUUUUUAGAAGAGAUUUAUAGGUGAAAGCAAAGAUGCAUUUUUUGGGACCACCACUGUACAAAAGUAGUAGCUGAAUACAAAACAUUUUCUGAUCACCUGCAUCAAAGACAGUCCUUAAGGCAUUUAAUCUAUGUUUGGAUGGCCUUCAUUUUUACCUCUCCAUCAUCAUUUCUGAUACCUGUGGGUGAUAUAAAAGGAGUUGUAUGCAAAGCUGAGGGGAUAAAUAUUUUGGGAAAAAAAAAUCUAAUUUACACAGGAGUUAUAUGAUAGAGAUUCUUUUUUCAUUUCUUAAAGAGAAAGCAGUUUUGUCAAGGUAAAACAUGGGUUCUGUUCUCCAAACUAAUUUAAUCAGUUUCGUCAUUGUGAGAUUCCUUAUGUCUUAACUUUAAAAUUUAUACUUAAAAUCAAGUAAUUAUUUUUAAUACUACUUAAUAAAGUUAAAUUACUGAAUUGCCUUACCUCAUGGAAAGAAUUAUUUUUCAGUUAAAAAACCCCCACCUGAAUAGCAUAUUAGCUAUUCACUUUCAAUUUGUUUCUUUUCCUUUGUAUAGUUAAUUCUUGAAAAAAAAAAAAAAAAAAGCUUAUUACAGGGAAUGAAAAAUUUACCCAAUUCCUAAGGUAAUGAAACACAAUUUGAUUGUGAAGCUUGCUUAAUCACUCUUUUUUCUUUUUUUCAAUAUGAUUUUAUGUUCUUGCCACUUUGUGCAUUUAAGACUACAAAAUGCUUUACUAUGUAAAGUAUAAACAGUCAUUUCUGUGAUGCUUAAACCACAUGCUGUUGACUGGUAAGCAGUUUACUCUGAUAGAAGAAUGGCAAAUUCCUAUGCGUAUGGAAAGGCUGUGAAGGUUUAUGUCUCACAACAACAGCCUUCAUUUAUGAUUUGCAAGUAGCAUAAAGCAAAGUGAUUCUUUGUAUACUUGUUAUCUUUGGUACCAUCUCACUAAUAAAAGUAAGUAUUUUAGAGGGAAGUUUCUGCUGUUAUAUACUUUUAGUUGAUCUGGUCUUCUUCAAGCAGCUUCUUUGAUUUGAAAUGAAAAUAUGCA